AUUCUGUGAAAGAUGAUUGACAAUUGACAUUUUUUGACUUUCGAAAAGGAUUUUAAAGCAUUCAAGGCAAUAACAUAUGAUUUAUUCCAUAUUUUGAUGGUCCUUCGAGGAUUUAUAAACUUCAAGGCACUAACAUUGCUCUCGAAAUUACCUUCAGUAGAAUUUUAUUAUUAUUGCAUUAUCAAAAUUACAAAAACUAAAGAUAAACAUCGAUUAGUUUGAUUUGAAAAAAAAUUGAAGGAAUGUUAAUUGAAUUUUGCUUACUCAAUUAGAAUACACAGUUUGUAAUCAGAAAUUUGAAUUCAACAAAGGCGCAAAUUGUUAUUGAAGACGAGCGCAGUCAGAAGUACGCUGCCAAUAUACUAGAAAUUAAUCAGUCAACUGUGUCUCCGGUAGUUGCAAGAUAACCAAAGACUGAAAGAUAUCAUAAAAGACCAGUGCAGGGUCGACCAGCAGACAAUAAAUUUCUGAGGUUGCAAGCUUUACGAACAAGAGUUAGCUGAAACUAACUUCAGAAUCUGUGAGUGAUGUGUUAGGAAAUGGUGGGUAAUUUCCAAGUAACAUAGGACCUUCAACAAAUUUUGGAGGAGGGUUUAUCAUGUUAUGGGGUGGAAUAUCUAUCAGCGACCACAUAGAAUAGAUACAGGAUCAUCAACUACUUAGAGAUUUUGGAUCUAUAUGUCCUUCUUUUGUAGUUACAGACUAGCUCGCACGCAGCCAGGACUCAAGCCCUAUUGAUCAUGUAUGGGAUAAUAUUUACUGAAGAUGGAGAUCUACAAAUUUGAUACCAGCAUACCUUCAACAAAUGCAAAUGCUGAUUAUUACUGACUAGGAGAAUUUGGACCUAAAUUACUUGGAGGACAUAAUCAGAAGAAUGUCACGGCGUUGUCGUGAUAUGAUUUGAGCUCUAGGAAGCCAAACAUGUUAUUAAAUAUGAUUUCUUUAGUUUGAGAAUGAUUGUUUUGUAAUGUAUUUUUCAAUUUUCAGGCUCCUUUACGUUUUACUCUGCAGAUGUCAGUGACCUAAAUGUGAUUCUUGAUAAGUUGUCAUGUGUUAAUACUUUAAUUUAUUGAAUGAUUAUUCAAUAUUCUUAUAUUGUCUUUUGAAUCACUAAUUUGUUAUAGAGGAAGUGUAAAUACCGAAAUGAUUAUUUUGUUAUAUUUGUAGUGAUUUUAUAAUACAAGAAAAUUAUAUAGACUUUGUAAGGGAGAAUUUUUUUGAUUAUUUCAGUAUUAAAAAGUUAAACAAGGUAAAUCAUUGGUUCCUCAAGAAGUUUGUAAGUUCUGUGUCUUUACGGUUGUGGAAAAAAGGAUACCCUCCUGGAUUCUAUUUCCUAUGAUCUGGAUGAAGCUUAAGAUUUAUUUUCAUGAUUAUUACUUUUGGAUAAUACAUAGAAAAUAUUUUUAUCGAAAUUAAAUGUGGGGACGUCCAGAGCUACAGUUUACAAAACGUUUUGUUUCACCCACUGAAAAUUUCCCAAUAUUGCAGAAAGCGGUACAGUCUACUAGUGGAAAUGAACAUUUACUUCAGAUAUUUUUCUCAAAAAAAACUCAGUGAUUAAGUACAUAAUCUAAUACAAGGAUCAAAACGAGGAUCAGAAAUGUUAGCUUCAAGAUUUUAAGAAAAACCCUUAAUAAUUGAAGAAUUUAUUUCCCCUUGUGUGGGUGGCAUAUUAUUAAGAAGAAAAAUAUGAAAUGGAGGUAAAUUAAAUGCAUUUUAUUGAGAUAUUAUAUAUGUUCUGAAUAUUUUUCGAUUUAUUUACUUCGUUGCUUUAUAAUAUUUCGUAAUAAAACAAAUAUAUUAGUA